rnacentral:rRNA from 1 species
UUUAAGUGUAAAUUUGAAUUUAUCUGGGUAGUAUUAGUUAAGGUCUUUAAACCCAAAGAAUUUGGCGGUAUUUCAUUCCAUUCAGAGGAACCUAUCUCGUAAUUGAUAGUACACGAUUUACUUUACUUAAUUUAUUUGUUUGUAUAUCUCCGUUAUCAGAAAAUCUUUUUGGAGUUAUAAUUUUCUUGUUUUUUCAUUAAGAAUUAUUUCAGGUCAAGGUGCAGCUUAUAAUUAAGUGUGUGAUGGGUUACAAUAGAUUUUUUUUAUAAUGGAUUUUAUAUUGAAAUAUUUAAAUGAAGGUGGAUUUGAUAGUAAUUUAAUUUAUUUAAUUUAAUUGAUAUUGGCUCUGAAAUGUGU